rnacentral:rRNA from 1 species
UUUGAUCCUGGCUCAGAUUGAACGCUAGCGGGAUGCCUUACACAUGCAGUCGAACGGCAGCACGGACUUCGGUCUGGUGGCGAGUGGCGCAACGGGUGAGUAAUGUAUCGGAACGUGCCUAGUAGUAGCGGGGGAUAACUACGCGAAAGCGUAGCUAAUACCGCAUACGCCCUACGGGGGAAAGCAGGGGAUCGCAAGACCUUGCACUAUUAGAGCGGCCGAUAUCGGAUUAGCUAGUUGGUGGGGUAACGGCUCACCAAGGCGACGAUCCGUAGCUGGUUUGAGAGGACGACCAGCCACACUGGGACUGAGACUGAGACACGGCCCAGACUCCUACGGGAGGCAGCAGUGGGGAAUUUUGGACAAUGGGGGAAACCCUGAUCCAGCCAUCCCGCGUGUGCGAUGAAGGCCUUCGGGUUGUAAAGCACUUUUGGCAGGAAAGAAACGUCAUGGGUUAAUACCCCGUGAAACUGACGGUACCUGCAGAAUAAGCACCGGCUAACUACGUGCCAGCAGCCGCGGUAAUACGUAGGGUGCAAGCGUUAAUCGGAAUACUGGGCGUAAGCGUGCGCAGGCGGUCGGAAAGAAAGAUGUGAAAUCCCAAGCUUACUUUGAACUGCAUUUUUAACUACCAGCUAAAGUGUGUCAAAGGGAGGUGGAUUCCCCGUGUACCAAUGAAAUGCCUAAUUUCGGAGGACCCGGUGGCAAGCACCUCUGGGAUACACUGACCUAUGCCAAACUGGGACAACAGAUUAAUCCUGUAUCCCCUAACAUUACUUUGGGCCUGGCCGUUGGGCGUUAGGCCUUAGUGGCGCAGCUAACGCGUGAAGUUGACCGCCUGAGUACGUCGCAAAAUUAAAACUCAAAGGGAUUGACGGGAAACCGCAAAAAAGGUGGGGGUUGUGGAUUAAUUCCCAACGCGAAGAACCUACCUACCCUUGACAUGUCUGGAAUGCCGAAGAGAUUUGGCAGUGCUCGCAAGAGAACCGGAACACAGGUGCUGCAUGGCUGUCGUCAGCUCGUGUCGUGAGAUGUUGGGUUAAGUCCCGCAACGAGCGCAACCCUUGUCAUUAGUUGCUACGCAAGAGCACUCUAAUGAGACUGCCGGUGACAAACCGGAGGAAGGUGGGGAUGACGUCAAGUCCUCAUGGCCCUUAUGGGUAGGGCUUCACACGUCAUACAAUGGUCGGGACAGAGGGUCGCCAACCCGCGAGGGGGAGCCAAUCUCAGAAACCCGAUCGUAGUCCGGAUCGCAGUCUGCAACUCGACUGCGUGAAGUCGGAAUCGCUAGUAAUCGCGGAUCAGAAUGUCGCGGUGAAUACGUUCCCGGGUCUUGUACACACCGCCCGUCACACCAUGGGAGUGGGUUUCACCAGAAGUAGGUAGCCUAACCGUAAGGAGGGCGCUUACCACGGUGGGAUUCAUGACUGGGGUGAAGUCGUAACAAGGUAGCCGUA